GGUUCGAUGGUGUAGUUGGUUAUCACAUCUGUCUAACAAGCCGCUUAUCACGGUGCGUAGAUCACAGAAGGUCGCCGGAUCGAGCCCGGCUCGAAUCA